rnacentral:rRNA from 1 species
GACGAACGCUGGCGGCGUGCCUAAUACAUGCAAGUCGAACGCAGUGGGGACGGGUGAGUAACACGUGGGUAACCUCCCAUCAGAGGGGAUAACACUUGGAAACAGGUGCAAAACCGAUAUGGAUGUAUGGACUCGCGGGGUAUUAGCUAGUUGGGGAGGUAAAGGCUCACCAAGGCCACGAUGCAUAGCGGACCUGAGAGGGUGAUCAGCCACACUGGGACUGAGACACGGCCCAGACUCCUACGGGAGGCAGCAGUAGGGAAUCUUCGGCAAUGGGCGAAAGCCUGACCGAGCAACGCCGCGUGAGUGAAGAAGGUUUUCGGAUCGUAAAGCUCUUUUGUUAGAGAAGCGUUAUCUAACCAAGAAGCCACGGCUAACUACGUGCCAGCAGCCGCGGUAAUAC